CCUACGGGAGGCAGCAGUGGGGAAUAUUGCGCAAUGGGGGCAACCCUGACGCAGCAACGCCGCGUGAUUGAAGAAGGCCUUCGGGUUGUAAAGAUCUUUAAUCGGGGACGAAUUUUGACGGUACCCGAACACUAAGCUCCGGCUCACUACGUGCCAGCAGCCGCGGUAAUACGUAGGGAGCAAGCGUUAUCCUGAUUUACUGGGUGGAAAGGGCGUGGAGGCGGGCAUGCAAGGCAGAAGUGAAAUCUGGGGGGUUAACCCCCCAACUGCUUUUGGAACUGCGUGUCUUGAGUGAUGGAGAGGCAGGCGGAAUUCCCAGUGUAGCGGUGAAAUGCGUAGAUAUUGGGAGGAACACCAGUGGCGAAGGCGGCCUGCUGGACAUUAACUGACGCUGAGGCGCGAAAGCGUGGGGAGCAAACAGGAUUAGAUACCCGUGUAGUC
rnacentral:rRNA from 1 species